rnacentral:tRNA from 1 species
GCCGGCGUGGCUCAAUUGGCAGAGCACCUGAUUUGUAAUCAGGGGGUUGUGGGUUCGACUCCCAUCGUCGGCUCCA